CGUUGCUCUGGUAGAAGAACGCUGACCGAGCUCUAGUUUCUGUCUCUAUCUACAAGAGGCGAAAAGGUACACAAAAGAGCAGCUUGUUUUGAGUUUCAAGCUUUGUCCUUCGAUCUCCACUUAUCCGCCGUGACGCUGCAGGCUUGAAAAAACGCUAGAAUCCCUUCAUGGUCGUUCGUGGCAGAAUCCUCGCUGUAUUCAACAGUUUCCCUCUGUUUCCAUCGAAGGCUCGUUUUGCGGUUGUCUCAAGAAGCUUCUUUGGUCGUUUGUUUACUUCAGAUGAUCCUGCGCUAGACGGUUAUCCCUUGUCCGGCAAUCUAUCAUCUGAGCAACCUGAAAAAUGUGGAGACAAGAAAAGGAAUCAUGAUAUUAAUGUCAUCAUCAACAAAGUUCUCAAUGCACAAAGUGAAUCCGAAGUCUUCCAGUCUCUGGCACAAGACAUUGAGUGUAACAAGAUACAAGAAUUAACCCAAAUACUUCAACUUUCAAUUCUAUGAUUGCUAUGUUUUGUCAUCACAAACAAGAGCAAAGGGCCCUGGAGUACCUUGGGAUUUUAGAACAGUCACCAUACUGUAAACCUGAUGUUCAAUCAUUCUAUCCGUUGCUGAAGUUGUAUUUUCGAGAUGGGAAGACAUGCAAGUGCUUGAAUCUCGUAGAUGACGUGGUUAAGAAGCACCAUUUAUGUCUUGAUCUGGCAACUUAUACUCUUUUAAUCCAUGGAUUCUGCAGAGGAAACAAAUACGAGAGGGCAUACCAGCUUUUCAAGGAAAUGAUAGGUCAAAAUAUAAAACCUAGAUAUGUAACAUGUUCAUUGCCUUUGAAAGAAAUGAGAGAGAAAAACAUGUAUGGUGCAGCCGAGAUGAUUGAAGACGUUAUGAAGAAAAUGAAAUCGCCUGGACAGAAAAACUGCUGGUAACACAACUUACUACUA